rnacentral:rRNA from 1 species
GACGAGGGAUCCUAGCGUUGUUCGGAAUCAUUGGGCGUAAAGCGGGUGCAGGUGGCUUUGUAAGUCAGGUGUGAAAUCCCAGGGCUCAACCCUGGAAGUGCAUUUGAUACUGCAAAGCUUGAGUGCUGGAGAGGCUAUUGGAAUACAUGGUGUAGUGGUGAAAUACGUAGAUAUCAUGUGGAACACCGGAGGCGAAGGCGGAUAGCUGGCCAGACACUGACACUCAUACCCGAAAGCGUGGGGAUCAAACAGG